GUGGGAAAUUUUGGACAAUGGGCGCAAGCCUGAUCCAGCAAUGCCGCGUGCAGGAAGAAGGCCUUCGGGUUGUAAACUGCUUUUGUACGGAACGAAACGGUCCUGGUUAAUACCUGGGGCUAAUGACGGUACCGUAAGAAUAAGCACCGGCUAACUACGUGCCAGCAGCCGCGGUAAUACGUAGGGUGCGAGCGUUAAUCGGAAUUACUGGGCGUAAAGCGUGCGCAGGCGGUGCUGUAAGACAGGCGUGAAAUCCCCGGGCUCAACCUGGGAAUUGCGCUUGUGACUGCAGUGCUGGAGUACGGCAGAGGGGGAUGGAAUUCCGCGUGUAGCAGUGAAAUGCGUAGAUAUGCGGAGGAACACCGAUGGCGAAGGCAGUCCCCUGGGCCUGUACUGACGCUCAUGCACGAAAGCGUGGGGAGCAAACAGGAUUAGAUACCCUAGUAGUCC
rnacentral:rRNA from 1 species